rnacentral:rRNA from 1 species
GCUGGCGGCAUGCCUAAUACAUGCAAGUCGAACGCGUCUAGCAAUAGACGAGUGGCGGACGGGUGAGUAACGCGUGGGAACCUGCCCUUGAGUGCGGGAUAACCGAGGGAAACUUCGGCUAAUACCGCAUGCGCCCCCUCACGGGGGGAAAGAUUUAUCGCUCGAGGAGGGGCCCGCGUCGGAUUAGCUAGUUGGUGGGGUAACGGCCUACCAAGGCGAUGAUCCGUAGCUGGUCUGAGAGGAUGAUCAGCCACACUGGGACUGAGACACGGCCCAGACUCCUACGGGAGGCAGCAGUAGGGAAUAUUGGACAAUGGGGGCAACCCUGAUCCAGCAAUGCCGCGUGAGUGAUGAAGGCCUUAGGGUUGUAAAGCUCUUUCGCACGCGACGAUGAUGACGGUAGCGUGAGAAGAAGCCCCGGCUAACUUCGUGCCAGCAGCCGCGGUAAUACGAAGGGGGCGAGCGUUGUUCGGAAUUACUGGGCGUAAAGGGCGCGCAGGCGGCCGAUCAAGUCAGGCGUGAAAGCCCCGGGCUUAACCUGG